UACAGAGGUCUCAAGCGUUGUUCGGAUUCAUUGGGCGUAAAGGGUGCGUAGGUGGCGCUGUAAGUCGGGUGUGAAAUUUCGGAGCUUAACUCCGAAACUGCAUUCGAUACUGCGGUGCUUGAGGACUGGAGAGGAGACUGGAAUUCAUGGUGUAGCAGUGAAAUGCGUAGAGAUCAUGAGGAAGACCAGUGGCGAAGGCGGGUCUCUGUACAGUUCCUGACACUGAGGCACGAAGGCCAGGGGAGCAAACGGG
rnacentral:rRNA from 1 species